ensembl:snRNA Gm25160 U6 spliceosomal RNA
ACAUUUUGGCAGAUCAUGUACUAAAAUUGGUACAAUGUAGAGAAAAUUAGUAUGGUCUUAAACAGGGAUGACACACAAAUUCAUGAUGUUUCCAUACUUUUU